UACGUAGGUGGCAAGCGUUGUUCGGAAUUACUGGGCGUAAAGGGCUCGUAGGUGGCCAACUAAGUCAGACGUGAAAUCCCUCGGCUUAACCGGGGAACUGCGUCUGAUACUGGAUGGCUUGAGUUUGGGAGAGGGAUGCGGAAUUCCAGGUGUAGCGGUGAAAUGCGUAGAUAUCUGGAGGAACACCGGUGGCGAAGGCGGCAUCCUGGACCAACACUGACGCUGAGGAGCGAAAGCUAGGGGAGCAAACGGG
rnacentral:rRNA from 1 species